GCGGGUACUCGAGUGGCGAACGGGUGAGUAACACGUGGGUGAUCUGCCUUGCACUUCGGGAUAAGCUUGGGAAACUGGGUCUAAUACCGGAUAGGACAGCUGUUUAGUGUCAGUUGUGGAAAGUUUUUUCGGUGCAAGAUGAGCUUGCGGCCUAUCAGCUUGUUGGUGGGGUAAUGGCCUACCAAGGCGUCGACGGGUAGCCGGCCUGAGAGGGUGUACGGCCACAUUGGGACUGAGAUACGGCCCAGACUCCUACGGGAGGCAGCAUGGGGAAUAUUGCACAAUGGGCGGAAGCCUGAUGCAGCGACGCCGCUGGGGGAUGAAGGCCUUCGGGUUGUAAACUCCUUUCGACAGGGACGAAGCGUAAGUGACGGUACCUGUAUAAGAAGCACCGGCUAACUACGUGCCAGCAGCCGCGGUAAUACGUAGGGUGCGAGCGUUGUCCGGAAUUACUGGGCGUAAAGAGCUCGUAGGUGGUUUGUCGCGUCGUCUGUGAAAUUCCGGGGCUUAACUCCGGGCGUGCAGGCGAUACGGGCUGACUUGAGUGCUGUAGGGGAGACUGGAAUUCCUGGUGUACCGGUGAAAUGCGCAGAUAUCAGGAGGAACACCGAUGGCGAAGGCAGGUCUCUGGGCAGUAACUGACGCUGAGGAGCGAAAGCAUGGGUAGCGAACAGGAUUAGAUACCCUGGUAGUCCAUGCCGUAAACGGUGGGCGCUAGGUGUAGGGGGCUUCCACGUCUUCUGUGCCGUAGCUAACGCAUUAAGCGCCCCGCCUGGGGAGUACGCCGCAAGGCUA
rnacentral:rRNA from 1 species